rnacentral:lncRNA from 1 species
CAGCACGGAUACGGAUACGCGUAUCAGUAUCGGAAGGAUACGGAUACGCGGAUACGGCAAUUUUCUAAAAAAUCUGAUACGCGGAUACGUUUUACUAUUUUAAAAAUUAAAAAGAUAAUAAUGCAUAUUAAAACUAAUAAUAAUAGAACAUUGCAGUCUACUUAACUACUUAAGUUCUAUUAUUAUGUUUUACUCUUAAUAAACGGCAUUCAGCCUCUCAUCAACUCCCUAUUUCCUCAAUUGUUUCACUCUCAUCCAAAACAGCAAGCUGCAGAGUAGAUCGAGUAGAUCGAGAAUGGAAAAAAGAGACGCCAUCUACUCGUAUUUGGAGACACGCCAGACACCAUCCACUGCAUACAAAGAAAAUCAGGCAACAAGAAAGUAAGAAAUGCAAAAACAGAGUAGAUCAAGAAUGGACAGACGAAGAGGAAGUGCGGACCAAAGAAAUCAAACAACAAUAUGAGUGAAGGGGGGAUGAACUCACGGGAAUAGGGAAGGGGGGAUGAACUCACGGGAUGGGAGGUCGCUGGACACCUGGAUCCAAGUUGCAGGGCAGGGACUUUGCCGGCGGCCGGGCGGAGCUCGUCGCCGGCGAGCGGGGGCGGAGCUCGUCGCCGGCUAGCGGGGGCGGAGACUCGUUGCCAGCGGCCGACGGCCAGCGAGCAGGACAAGGCAUCACCGCGCGUGUUCGCUGGAGGCGGCACGAAGUGCGGGCGUCGGGGCCUGGCGUUGGGGAUAGAGGAAGGGAGUGCACGCGUGUUGGGCUGGGCCGUAUCGAAUGGGCAGAUACGUAUCGGCCGACGUACUCAAUAUUCACGAAAUUAACAAAAAAUCGGAUACUCUUCCGAUACGUAUCCAUCACGUAUCCGACACGUAUCCGUAUCGGAUAUUUAUCCGAUACGGGAUACGGCACCUCCCCAGCGUAUCCGUGUUACAUAGGUUAUACUCAAGCUCAAAUGUGUGGAAACUAGAUCCUUUUAUAGUUUUAUACUUUUAUUCCAUGUCUUUGGUUUGUGAUCUGAUCAAUAAUACCUGAUAUUUGGGAUCUGGGAGUUGGGAGUUGGGAGUUGGGAUUGGCUAUCAGUAUAUCAGGUCAUUCUGGACUCUGGUGGGCACCAACCAAGUCUGGGAAAUGUGGAAGAAAAUAAUCCAGCAAAGUAGUCUAGUAAAUUAGUUUCUGGUAUUUUUGUUUCUACAAAGUAGAGCCAA